CAGCCUGCUUAUCAGAUACUGCUUAAAAAAUCAUUAAUGAAUAAUAUCGUAUUUUUGUUGUCGUGAUAAUAAAGCGUUUAGCAAUACACGAAUAAUAAUAACAAACGCACGGGAAAAUUUUCGCCCGUGCCAACGUUGUGCUAGACGAGAACGGAAAACGUUCUUACGACGUCACUGCGGCCGUCUCGAUGCUCAUAAAUCGUAUAUUUUCCACCGUCAAUUUCCAUAAGGUCAUCGCACAAACGAGCAUAGCUCACGGUUAUUGUUAUUAUCGACGUCAAAGUUAUUAAAGCUCAAUUUUUUCGAAAACGAUUCGUCAAACGCUGUUUGGGCCGAUCAACGUGUAUCAGUCAAAGAAUUGCGAACAAAUGGUGGCGGUACUUCCUGCCUAAAAAGAACAUCCUGUUGAGGCAUAUAAUUAAGGAGUCAUGGAGUUUCAAG